AUUGAACGCUGGCGGCAGGCCUAACACAUGCAAGUCGAGCGGUAGAGAGGUGCUUGCACCUCUUGAGAGCGGCGGACGGGUGAGUAAUGCCUAGGAAUCUGCCUGGUAGUGGGGGAUAACGUCCGGAAACGGACGCUAAUACCGCAUACGUCCCACGGGAGAAAGCAGGGGCCCCUCGAGCCUUGCGCUAUCAGCUGAGCCUAGGUCGGAUUAGCUAGUUGGUGAGGUAAUGGCUCACCAAGGCGACGAUCCGUAACUGGUCUGAGAGGAUGAUCAGUCACACUGGAACUGAGACACGGUCCAGACUCCUACGGGAGGCAGCAGUGGGGAAUAUUGGACAAUGGGCGAAAGCCUGAUCCAGCCAUGCCGCGUGUGUGAAGAAGGUCUUCGGAUUGUAAAGCACUUUAAGUUGGGAGGAAGGGUACUUACCUAAUACGUGAGUAUUUUGACGUUACCGACAGAAUAAGCACCGGCUAACUCUGUGCCAGCCGCCGCUGUAACAC
rnacentral:rRNA from 1 species